rnacentral:rRNA from 1 species
GACGAACGCUGGCGGCGUGCUUAACACAUGCAAGUCGAACGAAGUGGCGAACGGGUGAGUAAUACGUGGGUAACCUGCCCUCCUUUUUGGGAUAAGCCUUGGAAACGGGGUCUAAUACCGAAUUAAGGGGGAUGGGCUCGCGGCCUAUCAGCUUGUUGGUGGGGGGAUGGCCUACCAAGGCGGUGACGGGUAGCCGGCCUGUGAGGGAGACCGGCAACGUGGGGACUGAGAGACGGCCCAGGCGCCUACGGGGGGGAGAAGGGGGGGAGAGGGCACAAUGGACGAAAGCCUGAUGCAGCGGCGCGGCGGAGGGGAUGAAGGCGGUCGGGUUGUAAACCUCGUUCACGAGAGAACGGGUAGGUGGAGAAGAAGCGCCGGCUAACUACGUGCCAGCAGCCGCGGUAAGUC